CAGGAAUGAGGAGGGUGUGCCAAGCAGGCCAAGAUAAAAGAAAGAAUCCAGAAACAAGAAACUCUGAUCAGAAGAACUUGGGAAGCAAAAGCGACAUGGAAUCCUGUGGACAGGCUGAAGAUGGCAGCUGCAUUGUCUAUACUAGCCAGCAGUUUUGUCUUCUGUAGCUGUUUUUUGUGCUUUGCUGCUUGUUACACUGUAUAAGUGAGAGAGAGAGAGAGAGAGAGAAAAAGAGAGAGAGAGAGAGA